UAGCCUUUUAUGCAAAUGCUCUGUUUAUAGAGCUCGAGAUUUCACAAGGUCAAGGCUCAUCUCAUUUCACUUGAAUCAGUUGCUUGUAGUUCAAUCUGAAUUCCAUCAAUUUCUCUCUUAUAUCUGUCAUCUGAACUAGCAUAUACCAUCUUCCUCCUCACCCUUAACGAAUCUUGAGACCUAUAUUUUGCACUUUGCUUGUUUGAAAAUGGAAGUGUUCACAGUGGCGGUUUUUAUAUGUGAAUGGACUGAAUCAGUGUUUUCAUGGUGGUAAAUUGUGGACUGCCUCAUUUCUUACAGGGAGACAACCUUCAUUUUUGGUUCCUAAAAGAGUAAUUUUUUUAGCUCAACAGCCUCGAUCUUUAACUACUUGAUCAAAAGAAAUGAAGAAUUCUACUGGAUAGCAAGAACAUUAAAGAUGCUUACCAUGUGUUUGAGGAAUGUUCACAGUGAAAAUUCAUAAGCUACGCAUAGACCGGAUAGCAACAGACUCUAGUUAUGAUGCUUGCCGAGAAACAUAGAAAUGAAGUUAUCAAGAAAGUUGUGAAUUGGUGUAAUAUAUUAUCUUACAUUUUCUGGCGGUGGCAUACGUCUUUGUCUAAUAAGAUCAUCUCUGGUAACUCUUUUGAUGGGAACAGUUCCGGACGGACAACCUCCAUUCUCUAACACUUUCCUUGAAGAUAUAUCAACAGUUGAGGUACUUGAUAUUUGAUUUAUCGUUGAUAAAGUGGGUUUCAUCUGUCAAUCCAAAACUUGUUUAAAUUAUCUAUUAACAUUAAUACUUCAUCCAUAUAAAGUUGAAUACACAAAAAGAAAGUGUAAAUACAUACCUCGGGAUGAAAAUUGUGAUUCUUCAAUGCUGGAUGAUCAAAUGCAAGUUGUUUGUAGAAAUCCACACAAUCGUAUGUAACCCCCCAUUCAGUCUGUGAGCAAAAAAUUCAUAAACUUUAAUAUUGGUUGUACUAUUCAAGAUCAUGCUUUUGAAAUGUAAUAACUUGUGAAUAAAUAAAAAUAUUGUAGAAUAAAAUGGUUGGUAGUAAAUAAUAA